UACAGAGGUCUCGAGCGUUAGGCGGAAUCACUGGGCUUAAAGCGUGUGUAGGCGGAUCGGUAAGUACCUUGUGAAAUCCCACAGCUUAACUGUGGAACUGCUUGGUAUACUGCCAGUCUUGAGCCAGCUAGGGGCUACCGGAACAAAUGGUGGAGCGGUGAAAUGCGUAGAUAUCAUUUGGAACGCCAAUGGUGAAAACAGGUAGCUGGGGCUGUGCUGACGCUGAGACACGAAAGCCAAGGGAGCAAACGGG
rnacentral:rRNA from 1 species